rnacentral:rRNA from 1 species
GACGAACGCUGGCGGCGUGCCUAAUACAUGCAAGUGAAGUUCAGUGGCGGACGGGUGAGUAAUACGUGGGUAACCUGCCCUCCUUUUUGGGAUAAGCCUUGGAAACGGGGUCUAAUACCGAAUAACGGGGGAUGGGCUCGCGGCCUGUCAGCUUGUUGGUGGGGUGAUGGCCGACCAAGGCGGUGACGGGUAGCCGGCCUGAGAGGAUGACCGGCCACAUUGGAACUGAGAUACGGCCCAGACUCCUACGGGAGGCAGCAGUGGGGGAUAUUGCACAAUGGGCGAAAGCCUGAUGCAGCGACGCCGCGUGAGUGAAGAAGGUUUUCGGAUCGUAAAGCUCUGUUGUUGGGGAAGGAGGAUCUAAAGAGAAAGCCACGGCUAACUACGUGCCAGCAGCCGCGGUAAUAC